AAAAGAUCAGAUUCAAUGGCUGUGUUUUUUUUUCACUAGUUGGUCUUUUGACCUAUCAUCUCUGAAAAAUGAUCCGAUGUAAAAAGAUCUGAUGUGAUUGGUCAAAAGACCAAUUAGUAUAAGAAAUAUAUCUGAAUUGGCCUGCCUGUGUAAACACAGCCUUAAUAGCCUACAUGGCUCUGGAUGGAGGUAGGCUAACAUCAUAAUUAAAUAUGGCACAAGCACAGUGAGGUCAAACAAUGUAACAGUGAGUUUUAAAGGCAUCACACUCCCACCCAGUGACAUGUACUAAGAGGUGGGCCAUAGAGAAUGAUAGAGGCCUCUAGCAGCCAAAAGGCAGUUUUAGCAUGAGCAGUGCCAUUGAGGGAUUCCACCCUUUUAAAAUAGUCAACUGGGUGGAGAUUCCUAUGGGUUGUAGCCUCUAUCGGGCUCUGGUUAGGAGAAUUAGUUUAAGGUCAGAAAAAAAUGUUAGCAAAAAAACUGUAUCCAGGCUAGAUAUGACCUUAUCAAGUGGGUGAUCAAUCAAGGUGAUGAUGGAGAAAGACCUGCCUUUAUAGGCACUGCCCCCCAGAAUAAGUAUAUCGCAGGUGCAGCACAUAAAUGAACCAGUCUCCUCUCUGUUGGGAGUAGAUCAGUGAGAAACUGCUUUGUGACAAGAGACUGACAUCUGAAAUGUCUUCACCUCUGGUGCCCCACCCAAUGAAAAGCUUUCUGGGCAACCCUGAGGAGAGUGACCCCCUGAUGAGAUGGAGAAUUGGUUCGCCCUCUGUAUCUCAGAUACACUUGACCCAGGGGUUGCUGAAGGCAGGGCCACCUUCUAUUGUUGACAGAGAGGAGACCAGUUCAGCUACACAGGAAAUGUGUUCGGUGAGACAAAAUGAAAGCAUCACAG